CCCGGCUCCCCAGCCUUCCAGCUCCAGCGGGGAGUGAUGGUAAUCACUCCCACAACCCCAACCCCAGCCUGGGGAAGGGAAGAGACGGUCUUCCCCCACCCCAAGCCGUCUCUGGCCUGCGGUCAGGGGGAGGGGCUCUAGCUGUGGAAAGUUGGCAGAAGCAGCCGGCAGCAGCCGGGAGAGUGGAAAAAAUGAUAUCAAACCCGGAAAAAUGCAGGCCGGAUGGAGGGCCGGAGUGGGCCCUGGGAGUGGAGACAAAGUUUUGCUAUGUUGCCCAUGAUGGUCUCAAAUUCCUGAAUCCAAGAUCCUCCCACCUCAGCUUCCCAAGGUGCUGAGAUGACAGGCAUGAGCCGCUGGGCCCGGCCCUGCUAUCAUACCUUAAGGCCUUGCAGAAACCAGGAUUUGUUAAGGGAAUGAAAGCUCCUUGACGGAAGGGCCCCCAGUGCUGCCCUGACCCCAGCACCUACAACCAGUGCCUGGCUCAUAAUAGGUGUCUGUGAAUAGGCAGUGGCUGGAAAAGCAUGUGAGAAAGCCACACUCUCCCUUCCAGGGACACAGCCUAUUAUAGUUUAGAAAGUACUUUCUCAUCCAUAAAAACAAAACC